UGGGGAAUUUUGGACAAUGGGGGAAACCCUGAUCCAGCAAUGCCGCGUGUGUGAAGAAGGCCUUCGGGUUGUAAAGCACUUUUGUCAGGAACGAAACGGGCUGGGUUAAUACCUUGGCCUAAUGACGGUACCUGAAGAAUAAGCACCGGCUAACUACGUGCCAGCAGCCGCGGUAAUACGUAGGGUGCAAGCGUUAAUCGGAAUUACUGGGCGUAAAGCGUGCGCAGGCGGUUGUGCAAGACAGAUGUGAAAUCCCCGGGCUUAACCUGGGAACUGCAUUUGUGACUGCACGGCUAGAGUGUGUCAGAGGGGGGUAGAAUUCCACGUGUAGCAGUGAAAUGCGUAGAUAUGUGGAGGAAUACCGAUGGCGAAGGCAGCCCCCUGGGAUGGCACUGACGCUCAUGCACGAAAGCGUGGGGAGCAAACAG
rnacentral:rRNA from 1 species